CUCCUGAUGUUGAGAACCCGAGUACUCUAACAAAGAUUAGAAGAUUUUCGAAUGACUCUUUUAUCUUUCCCAAGAUGAGGAAUUUUGGACAACUUGGUUACAUAAACCUGAUUCUGACUAUUUGUUUGUUAGCGAUAACUUAACUUUGCCCGGGGAGGUUUCUAAAUCUUCUUUACUGUUUUGUUGUUUUUAUUAUGAUUAGUGAUUUAUGAUGAUGAUACACCUAAUAAGAUACCCUCUUCAUUACAGUGGCCAAAGGACUCCUCAUUAGGUGGAAGCCAAAAUUGUAUUAUUUAAUAUGGCUACAUGAUCUUGCAAAUUGGAUGGAAUUUUGGUCAACUUUUCUAAGAAUCUUUACAUUUCAGUCUUUUUUUUUAUACUCAACAUAUACUUUUGUUAGUUCCUGAGUUUUCUUUAUGGGUGUUGCAGGGGAGAGAGCCUAUAAAUAUGUGCUUCACUAUGGAACCCAUGGCAUGGCAGACAGAGGCUCACUGAUGUUGAGGUUUGAUUUGGUUCAUAUUUUAAUGUUUUGCGCCUACUAUGGAUUGUUUGGGUUUUAAUUAAUAGCUGAUCUUCUAGUUCUCAUUUGAUUAUAUGGGUACUCUUUAUGAUAUAAUUUGUCAUUCAAUAAAUUUGCUAUCGCUGUUAAAAAUAAAAAGAAUAUUGAGAUAUUCGUUGAUCCAGUUUUGCAAUGAGCUUAUUUCUGAUUUUUCGAUAUCUGGAACAAUUUGCAAUUCUUGAUGAUAAUAUAAGAAUGAUAAUGGCUACAUACAUAGAUCAAAUUCCUUUGAUGAGUCAUUCUCUAUUAUUUUAUUUUUGAGAUUAGAAUGUAAGACACAAAUUGAAUUGUGUACUUGUUCUUAUGCAGUGUGGUUUUGUCAAAAUAAUGAUGUUCUUUCAUUAUAGCAUGGAGCCUCAAGUUUUGGUUUCAUAUUUCAUUUUGAAGCAUGUUUUCUUGAUAUUAUUUCAUCUGGUGUUAUAAUUUUCUUUCUCUUGUUUGAUCUUCUGACUUUGUAUUCUGGUUUUUUUUUUUUUUCUGGUUUUUUGAUUGUGAGGUUUGAUACAUGUUAAUUGAAAAACGACAUUGUUUUCUAUAGUGCGGUGUGUUUUGAAACAAUAACAUUUGAGUAGUAUCAAGCCUCAGGUUUAUUUUGGAACCUCUACUUGGAAUGCAAAUUAUUUUCAUUUCAUUUAUUAUUUGCCGAUUCUUAUUGUUCUGGAUUUGUUUCUUUAUGAUUUACUAUUAAUACUUAUUUUUUCUUAUGAAUGUUCACGUACUUCCCGUUCAGCCUAUAAUGUGUGGCUUGCUAGGGAUCCUGUGGUAAGAAGAGGAUCACACACUUUCUGCUCCGCCUUAAGAGCAUGCGUACGAAGCAUUUAAGAUUCUUGACAAGCUUGGUUUGGAACUGUUUUGUUCUGUUGAUUUGCCACUUCCUUUUGUUAGAAUUUUUUUCUUGCCAUUAUUUAGGAAAUGAUUGUUUUGGCAUACUUUCUUCACUCGUGUUUAUCCAUUUUGCAUACUUUCUUCACUGGUAUGUAGAACAUUUUGCAUUUCUUGAUUAAAUGGUUAAGAACGUAGAACAUAUCUAGAUAAUUCUGGAUUGAGUCAUUCUUUAUCAUUUCUAUGUCUUUGCUUUGAUGGCAAGACAUACACAUUGAACAGUGAAAAUGUUUUUCUGCCGCGCACGGAUUCUUCAGAGCAUGGAGCCUAGAGUUUUAAUUUGGUGAUCCCUAGUAAAUUUUUUUUGUUUCAAUCUUUAUCAAUUCUGAGAGCAUAUAUUUUAUGAUUUGUUAUUUAUUCUUUGGUGUUGCAGGAGAGGAUAUGAUUUUGAUUUACAUGUCGAUAUGCUUUUCUCAAAAUUUCACACAAUUAAGCAUCUCUUGCCUCUUCUUUUACUCAUAAAGAUUUUGUUUUGUAUAAUUUUUUGAUAUAAUUCUUUGUAUGAUAGUCGAGAGAUGAGUUUAUCUGUUUUGCAGCGUGCUAAAACGUUUCGAUGUCCAGAAUGAUCUUCUGAUCAGGGACUUGGUUUGGAGGACUAUGCUACUGUUCUUUCUUUCUUUUUUUUUUUUGGUCAAGUACUCUUCUUUCUUCAUUCAUAGAUUUUUUUUCUACACCUAUUUUUCUCAACCUUGUUAACUUUUUUUUUUUUUAUUGUAAGUGGAGAAAUUAAAGAUGAGUGCGCCUGAUUGCUGGGAUUAAUUUGGCAAUGCUGGUGUUGAAGUUUUCGUGUUUCUUCCAGUUUUGAAGGUUUUAUUUGCUGAGUACUACUCUAGCAAAGAUAAAGAUAUAAGUCUGGAUGGAAAUUUGGUCAACUAUUCUAAGAAUCUUUACAUUUCAGUCUUUUUUUUAUACUUAGCAUAUACUUCUGUCAGUUCCUGUGUUUUCUUUCUGGGUGGUGCAUGGGAGAGAGCCUAUAAAUAUUUGUUAUGGAACCCAUGGCAGACAGAGGCUCGCUGUUUUUAUUUUUUACUUGGUUACUUUGGUCUCCUGUGUUGAGGUUUGAUUUGGUUCAUAUUUUAAUGAUCUGCGCCUACUAUGAAUUGUUUGUGUUUUAAUUAAUUACUCUUCCAAUUCUCGUUUGAAUAUAUGUGUACUCUUUUUGAUAUAACUUGUCAUUCAAUAAAUUUGCUAUCGCUGUUAAAAAUAAAAAGAAUAUUGAGAUAUUCGUUGGUCCAUGUUGCGGUGAGCUAAUUUCUGAUUUUUGAAUAUCUGGAACAAUUUGCAAUUCUCGAUGAUAAUAUAAUAAGAAUGAUUAUAUAGGUGAAAUUUCUUCGAUGAGUCGUUCUCUAUUAUUAUUUUGUUGAGCUUUGAAUAUUUUUGAGUUUUGAAUCUAAGACACAAAUUGAAUUGUGUACCUGUUCUUAUGCAGUGUGGUUUGUCAAAAUAAUGAUGUUCUAUCAUAAUAGCAUGGAGCCUGAAAUUUUGGUUUGCAUAUUUCAUUUUAAAGCAUAUUUUUCUUGAUAUUUUAGUUCAUCUGGUGUUAUAAUUUUCUUUCUCUUGUUUGAUCUUCUGACUUUGUAUUCUGAUUCUUUUUUUCUGGUCUAUUCAUUGAGAGAUAUGUGUCUAUCCAUUUUGCAGCAAGAUGAAGUCUUUGGAUAUGUAGAACAUUUGAGAUUCUUGAUUAAAUGGUUAAGAACGGAGAACAUAUCCAGAUAAUUCUUCAAUGAGUCAUUCUUUAUCAUUUCUAUUUCUUUACUUUGAUGGCAAGACAUACAAAUUGAACGGUGAAAAUGUUUUCCUGCAGCGCACCGCUUCUUCAAAGCAUGGAGCCUAGAGUUUUGAUUUGGUGAUCUCCAGUAAAUUCUUUCUUUUUUUGUACAAUUUCUAUAUUUCUUUAUUUGUUAUUUUUUCUAUUUGGUUUUGCUAGGAGGAGAUGUGAUCUAUAUGUACAAACAAGUCCUUCUGGUUCUAUCCUCCUCCUGUUUUCUCACUUUUUUUUCCUUGGUUACUCUGGUAUAUGCCGAGGUUUGAUUUGUUUCUUGCUGGCUUCUACUAAUGAUUUGUCCCAA